rnacentral:rRNA from 1 species
GCAACCUGGUUGAUCCUGCCAGUAGUCAUAUGCUUGUCUCAAAGAUUAAGCCAUGCAUGUCUAAGUAUAAACGCUUUAUACUGUGAAACUGCGAAUGGCUCAUUAAAUCAGUUAUAGUUUAUUUGAUAGUACCUUACUACUUGGAUAACCGUGGUAAUUCUGCAGCUAAUACAUGCAUCAAAGUCGGACUUCUG